UAGGGAAUCUUCCACAAUGGACGCAAGUCUGAUGGAGCAACGCCGCGUGAGUGAAGAAGGUUUUCGGAUCGUAAAGCUCUGUUGUUGGUGAAGAGGGAUAGAGGCAGUAACCGGUCUUUAUUUGACGGUAAUCAACCAGAAAGUCACGGCUAACUACGUGCCAGCAGCCGCGGUAAUACGUAGGUGGCAAGCGUUGUCCGGAUUUAUUGGGCGUAAAGCGAGCGCAGGCGGAAUGAUAAGUCUGAUGUGAAAGCCCACGGCUCAACCGUGGAACUGCAUCGGAAACUGUCAUUCUUGAGUGCAGAAGAGGAGAGUGGAACUCCAUGUGUAGCGGUGGAAUGCGUAGAUAUAUGGAAGAACACCAGUGGCGAAGGCGGCUCUCUGGUCUGCANUGACGCUGAGGCUCGAAAGCAUGGGUAGCGAACAGGAUUAGAUACCCUGGUAGUCCAUGCCGUAAACGAUGAGCGCUAGGUGUUGGGGACUUUC
rnacentral:rRNA from 1 species